rnacentral:rRNA from 1 species
CCAGACUCCUACGGGAGGCAGCAGUGAGGAAUAUUGGUCAAUGGGCGGGAGCCUGAACCAGCCAAGUCGCGUGAGGGAAGACGGCCCUACGGGUUGUAAACCUCUUUUGUCGGGGAGCAAAGCGAGUCACGUGUGACUCAUUGAGAGUACCCGAAGAAAAAGCAUCGGCUAACUCCGUGCCAGCAGCCGCGGUAAUACGGAGGAUGCGAGCGUUAUCCGGAUUUAUUGGGUUUAAAGGGUGCGCAGGCGGUCUGUUAAGUCAGCGGUCAAAGCCCGGGGCUCAACCCGGGCCGGCCGUUGAAACUGGGGAUCUUGAGUGGGCGAGAAGUAUGCGGAAUGCGUGGUGUAGCGGUGAAAUGCAUAGAUAUCACGCAGAACUCCGAUUGCGAAGGCAGCAUACCGGCGCCCGACUGACGCUGAGGCACGAAAGCGUGGGGAUCGAACAGGAUUAGAUACCCCAGUACG